rnacentral:ncRNA from 1 species
AUUAAUAUAUAACCUUAUAACAAUCGACUCAGAGUUGGUUUGGACAAGGGGAAUCUGACUAUUUAAUUAAAACAAAGAAUUGCGAUGGUCCCUGCAGAUGCUGACACAAUGCGAUUUUUUCCCAGUGCUUUGAAUGUUAAAGUGAAGAAAUUCAACCAGGCACCAGUAAACGACGGGAGUAAAUAUGACUCUCUUAAGGUAGCCAAAUGCCUCGUCAUCUAAUUAGUGAUGCACAUGAAUGGAUUAACUAGAUUCCCACUAUCCCUAUCUAUUUUCUAGUGAAACCACGACCAAGGGGAUGGGCUUGGAAUAAUCAACAAGGAAAGAAGACCUUGUUGAGCUUGACUCUAGUGUGACUUUGUGAAAUGACUUGAGAGGUGUAGAAUAAGUGGGAAUCUUUUUCGACACAAAUUAAAUACAACUACUUUUAACGUUAUUUUACUUAUUAUGUGGGGCAGAGAGGGGCAUUUACCCUAUUUUUGGCCUUAAGACAUGUUUCGAUGGGUCGAUCUGGGCACAUUGUUAGGUGGGGAUUUUGGAUGGGGCGAAACAUCUGUUAAAAGAUAACAUAAAAUAUAAUUGGUGUAUAUAGAACAUUUUUAUCUGGGAGAUCCUAGUGCACAACCACCCUUAUUACAUUUCCCUCUUAAUUUUUAGUUACAUCCAAUCAUUUAUAAAUUGAAUCUAGUCUCCUCACUUGCACAAUAUGGAUAGAUGUGUGAACCCUGCCCCCCAUUUUCUAGUACCAUGAGAUGGGAUAUCCCUAACCAUGAACCA